AUUGAACGCUGGCGGCAGGCCUAACACAUGCAAGUCGAACGGUAACAGGAAGAAGCUUGCUUCUUUGCUGACGAGUGGCGGACGGGUGAGUAAUGUCUGGGAAACUGCCUGGUGGAGGGGGAUAACUACUGGAAACGGUAGCUAAUACCGCAUAACGUCGCAAGACCAAAAAGGGGGACCUUCGGGCCUCUUGCCAUCGGAUGUGCCCAGAUGGGAUUAGCUAGUAGGUGGGGUAACGGCUCACCUAGGCGACGAUCCCUAGCUGGUCUGAGAGGAUGACCAGCCACACUGGAACUGAGACACGGUCCAGACUCCUACGGGAGGCAGCAGUGGGGAAUAUUGCACAAUGGGCGCAAGCCUGAUGCAGCCAUGCCGCGUGUAUGAAGAAGGCCUUCGGGUUGUAAAGUACUUUCAGCGGGGAGGAAGGGAGUAAAGUUAAUACCUUUGCUCAUUGACGUUACCCGCAGAAGAAGCACCGGCUAACUCCGUG
rnacentral:rRNA from 1 species